CACGUAGGGGGCGAGCGUUGUCCGGAUUUAUUGGGCGUAAAGAGCUCGUAGGCGGCUCAGUAAGUCGGGUGUGAAAACUCCAGGCUCAACCUGGAGACGCCACCUGAUACUGCUGUGGCUAGAGUCCGGUAGGGGAGCAUGGAAUUCCUGGUGUAGCGGUGAAAUGCGCAGAUAUCAGGAGGAACACCAGUGGCGAAGGCGGUGCGCUGGGCCGGAACUGACGCUGAGGAGCGAAAGCGUGGGGAGCAAACAGG
rnacentral:rRNA from 1 species